rnacentral:rRNA from 1 species
UACGAAGGGGGCUAGCGUUGCUCGGAAUCACUGGGCGUAAAGCGCACGUAGGCGGAUCGAUCAGUCAGGGGUGAAAUCCCAGAGCUCAACUCUGGAACUGCCUUUGAUACUGUCGAUCUGGAGUAUGGAAGAGGUGAGUGGAAUUCCGAGUGUAGAGGUGAAAUUCGUAGAUAUUCGGAGGAACACCAGUGGCGAAGGCGGCUAUCUGGACGGUUUCUGACACUAAGACUCGAAAGCGUGGGGAGCAAACAGGG